rnacentral:rRNA from 1 species
UGCAGUCGAGGGGCAGCAUCAUCAAAGCUUGCUUUGAUGGAUGGCGACCGGCGCACGGGUGAGUAACACGUAUCCAACCUGCCGACAACACUGGGAUAGCCUUUCGAAAGAAAGAUUAAUACCGGAUGGUAUAGUUUUCCCGCAUGGGAUGAUUAUUAAAGAAUUUCGGUUGUCGAUGGGGAUGCGUUCCAUUAGGCAGUUGGCGGGGUAACGGCCCACCAAACCUACGAUGGAUAGGGGUUCUGAGAGGAAGGUCCCCCACAUUGGAACUGAGACACGGUCCAAACUCCUACGGGAGGCAGCAGUGAGGAAUAUUGGUCAAUGGACGAGAGUCUGAACCAGCCAAGUAGCGUGAAGGAUGACUGCCCUAUGGGUUGUAAACUUCUUUUAUACGGGAAUAAAGUGAGCCACGUGUGGCUUUUUGUAUGUACCGUAUGAAUAAGGAUCGGCUAACUCCGUGCCAGCAGCCGCGGUAAUACGGAGGAUCCGAGCGUUAUCCGGAUUUAUUGGGUUUAAAGGGAGCGUAGGCGGGUUGUUAAGUCAGUUGUGAAAGUUUGCGGCUCAACCGUAAAAUUGCAGUUGAUACUGGCGACCUUGAGUGCAACAGAGGUAGGCGGAAUUCGUGGUGUAGCGGUGAAAUGCUUAGAUAUCACGAAGAACUCCGAUUGCGAAGGCAGCUUACUGGAUUGUAACUGACGCUGAUGCUCGA